GGCAGUGGGUUGGAUUUGGCCUGCGUGCCAUCUUUUGUCAGCUCCAUAAACCUAACUCAAACGUUGCUUUCUGGAACAUUCCCACAAGUAAACCAUUCCUCAGUCUGCAGGAGUGUUUGGAAGAGAAGUCAGGAGGAAACGGUGAUCCGACAGCCACCUGGGACAGGCCUGCGGGUGAUGGAGCCCCCUGGAAGCCCAGCGCCGGGGAGCCUCGCUCCAGAGCGCAGGCGGGGUUCAAGGCCCGGGGCGUCCCCACGAACAGCCGGGUGGAGACCCGCAGCCACUGGUCCUCUCCUGUUAGCAGAAAGCCAAUUAUAACUAAUACGGAUGGCCACCCAGUUACUGGGUGGAUGGAGGAUACACGAUUGUUGAUUUUUGUCAUGUGAGGACUGGUUAACACUCAUCUUGAGAACAGGGUGUGAAGGAAGAUUGAAAAUGAAGGCAUCUCUAAAAGAGUCACUCAAAAGAAAGUCGGAAGGACAUUGAGGAAGCAAGGUUUAUGCACAUCUCCUGUUUCAAUUUUCAGAACACCAUGAACUUUUGACUUUUGUCUUUUGCAGUGGGACCACCUCCUGGAACACAUCUUCCUACUGGGGACUGAAAUAGAGAUAAUGUAAUGCCUGUUAGCGCAAUAGCCAAUCACGGAUUAGACAGUCAGUUCAAACUCUGCCAGCACCAAUCAUAAUUCUUUCAAAACAACUUAUGUAACUGUGUAUUUUUCGCCUUUAUAAGCUUGCACUCCUUGCUAGCAAUUUGGAGCACACUGGAUUUUGACUCUGUGCCUCCCAGAUCCUAAUGCCUAAGAUCCCAAAUAAAAGCUUUUGUAGUCUUGCGGCCUUGACUGUGAA